CGACUCGACAGCCGAAUUGUUGCGAAGUUUCUCGAAGCGUCGGUCUUCUCUCUAUAAAAAAGCAAGGCGCAGACCGUCAGUCGUAUCGGGAUGACGCGGACCAGGCUGUCGGUUGGAGGAUCGGUCGGGGCGGACCAGACCGGACCGGACCGGACCGGACCGGACCGGGCGGCGAUCAAAUGUUGCCGUCCGUGACGCAAAGAUGUUUCCAUAGGUUGAAGUAAAUUGUCAGACGGGAUCAGCUGACGGUCGGUUUAAAGCCGGUCUGCUAACAGUUUCCGUUUGAAAGUAACCGGACGGUCAGCAGGAAGGUUUGGAUCAUAAACGAGGACAAACAUGGCGGGAUUUCCUCCAGUUAUUUCUGUUUCAGUGGCGAAGAGAAACAACAAAAACCAGAAGAUUCUUGGGAUAAAUGUUUGCUUUUGAUCGUAAUCCUAGCAGUUAUUGUGUAACUAAAGGAAAUCUAUUUAAAUUAAUUCAAAUAAUUAAAAAUGGUGUCAGCAAUGAAAUAAAAAACUUUAAAUAUUUUAGUGAAGAAACCUCAGUAAUGAUGUCAUGAAACAACAAAUGCAGAUAUUUUUAUGCUCAUUAUGACUGUUGAAGAUUAAAACGGCUGCUUUAGUUAGUAAAAAAAAUAAAGAUAAAAAUUCCAAAGGUCAAA